GGGCCCGCACAAGCGGUGGAGCAUGUGGUUUAAUUCGAUGAUACGCGAGGAACCUUACCAGGGCUUAAAUGUGGAGUGACAGGGCUAGAGAUAGCUUUUUCUUCGGACACUUCACAAGGUGCUGCAUGGUUGUCGUCAGCUCGUGCCGUGAGGUGUCAGGUUAAGUCCUAUAACGAGCGCAACCCCUAUCGUUAGUUGCUAGCAGGUAAAGCUGAGGACUCUAGCGAGACUGCCGGUGCAAACCGUGAGGAAGGUGGGGAUGACGUCAAAUCAUCACGGCCCUUACGUCCUGGGCCACACACGUGCUACAAUGGUAUGGACAAUGAGCAGCCACUAUGCGAAUAGGAGCGAAUCUAUAAACCAUAUCACAGUUCGGAUCGGAGUCUGCAACUCGACUCCGUG
rnacentral:rRNA from 1 species